rnacentral:tRNA from 1 species
GGGUGCCGUAUGGCAGCGGACUGUAAAUCCGUCGGCGUAUGCCUACCAAGGUUCGAAUCCUUGACCCGCCA